GAUCAUUACCGAGUUUACAACUCCCAAACCCAAUGUGAACCAUACCAAACUGUUGCCUCGGCGGGGUCACGCCCCGGGUGCGUCGCAGCCCCGGAACCAGGCGCCCGCCGGAGGGACCAACCAAACUCUUUCUGUAGUCCCCUCGCGGACGUUAUUUCUUACAGCUCUGAGCAAAAAUUCAAAAUGAAUCAAAACUUUCAACAACGGAUCUCUUGGUUCUGGCAUCGAUGAAGAACGCAGCGAAAUGCGAUAAGUAAUGUGAAUUGCAGAAUUCAGUGAAUCAUCGAAUCUUUGAACGCACAUUGCGCCCGCCAGUAUUCUGGCGGGCAUGCCUGUCCGAGCGUCAUUUCAACCCUCGAACCCCUCCGGGGGGUCGGCGUUGGGGAUCGGGAACCCCUAAGACGGGAUCCCGGCCCCGAAAUACAGUGGCGGUCUCGCCGCAGCCUCUCAUGCGCAGUAGUUUGCACAACUCGCACCGGGAGCGCGGCGCGUCCACGUCCGUAAAACACCCAACUUCUGAAAUGUUGACCUCGGAUCAGGUAGGAAUACCCGCUGAACUUAAGCA
rnacentral:rRNA from 1 species